rnacentral:tRNA from 3 species
UGCUUCAUCGUCUAAUGGUAGGACAGCGGAUUCUGACUCCGUCAAUCUUGGUUCGAGUCCAGGUGAAGCAGCCA